rnacentral:rRNA from 1 species
UACGUAGGGUGCGAGCGUUAAUCGGAAUUCCUGGGCGUAAAGGGCUCGUAGGCGGUUCGUCGCUUCGGCUGUGAAAACCCGGAGCUCAACGCCGGGCCUGCAGUCGAUACGGGCGGACUUGAGUGUUGCAGGGGAGACUGGAAUUCCUGGUGUAGCGGUGAAAUGCGCAGAUAUCAGGAGGAACACCGGUGGCGAAGGCGGGUCUCUGGGCAACUACUGACGCUGAGGAGCGAAAGCGCGGGGAGCGAACAGG